AGCUGCGUGGUGAACAUAGAGCGAACUAUUCUUUCGUCUUUUACUAAAGAAAUACAGUGUCCUUGUCACAUCAAGCAGCGUACUCCUGUUUUUGGAGGAGUCUUAUCUAAAAGAGAGGU